rnacentral:misc_RNA from 1 species
AACUUUUAGCAAUGGAUCUCUUGGCUCUUGCAACGAUGAAGAACGCAGUGAAAUGCGAAAAGUAGUGUGACUUGCAUCCACCUGUGAAUCAUUGAAUCUUUGAACGCACAUGGCACUCUCUUCUGCUAGAAGGGAGUAUGCCUGUUUGAGAAUUGAAAAAGUCUAUGGAUCCCGGAUGAGGAUCUGACCUGCGGUAUUCAGCGAGGAGUUGGUGUGCACUGACGUGCAAUUGAUGCACACUAGCAGCUCUUUGCUGAGCCGUGAAAUACAGUCGGUAGUGACUGAUGGUCGGUCGUGUUGCUGGCCAUUGUGUGAUAAGAGGGAGGGGAUGUGCCUUGCCACAGUGAGCUGCUCAUGGUGACCAUUGUCUGCUGCCAAUCAACAUGAUGAUAUCAUGUCACUUAAUCUCAAAACAAGUAAGACUACCCGCCGAACUUAAGCAUAUCAAUAAGCGGAGGCU